CGUACCUUGUAAUGGGGGAUAACUAGUCGAAAGAUUAGCUAAUACCGCAUACGCCCUGAGGGGGAAAGUAGGGGAUCUUCGGACCUUACGUUAUAAGAGCGGCCGAUAUCUGAUUAGCUAGUUGGUGGGGUAAUGGCCUACCAAGGCGACGAUCAGUAGCUGGUCUGAGAGGACGACCAGCCACACUGGAACUGAGACACGGUCCAGACUCCUACGGGAGGCAGCAGUGGGGAAUUUUGGACAAUGGGCGCAAGCCUGAUCCAGCCAUUCCGCGUGAGUGAAGAAGGCCUUCGGGUUGUAAAGCUCUUUCGCAAGGGAAGAAAACUUACAUUCUAAUAAAGUGUGAGGCUGACGGUACCUUGAUAAGAAGCACCGGCUAACUACGUG
rnacentral:rRNA from 1 species